rnacentral:rRNA from 1 species
AACGAACGCUGGCGGCAUGCCUAACACAUGCAAGUCGAACGAGACCUUCGGGUCUAGUGGCGCACGGGUUCGUAACGCGUGGGAACCUUCCCUUAGGUUCGGCAUAACUCCCCGAAAGGGGUGCUAAUACCGGAUAAUGUCUUCGGCCCAAAGAUUUAUCGCCUUUGGAUGAGCCCGCGUUGGAUUAGCUAGUUGGUAGGGUAAAAGCCUACCAAGGCGACGAUCCAUAGCUGGGCUGAGAGGAUGAUCAGCCACACUGGGACUGAGACACGGCCCAGACUCCCCCGGGAGGGCGCAGUGGUGACGAUUGGACACCGCGCGAAAGCCUGAUCCAGCAAGGCCGCGUGAGUGAUGAAGGCCUUAGGGUUGUAAAGCUCAUUUACCAGGGAUGACAAUGCCAGUACCGGGAGAAUAAGCUCCGGCUACCUCCGU